rnacentral:lncRNA from 1 species
AUGCCAGGAAACAGCAACUGUUUCAUUAACACAGCGCUCAAAGCAGUGAAGGGGUGGGGCAGCGCUGAGUGUAUUCAUAUCCAUGUGUGUGUCAAUGUGUGUGGUUGUGUUCGACAGUCUGAGUGUAUUCAUAUCCAUGUGUGUGUCAAUGUGUGUGGUUGUGUUCUACAGUCUGAGUGUAUUCAUAUCCAUGUGUGUGUCAAUGUGUGUGGUUGUGUUCGACAGUCUGAGUGUAUUCAUAUCCAUGUGUGUGUCAAUGUGUGUGGUUGUGUUCGACAGUCUGAGUGUAUUCAUAUCCAUGUGUGUGUCAAUGUGUGUGGUUGUGUUCGACAGUCUGAGUGUAUUCAUAUCCAUGUGUGUGUCAAUGUGUGUGGUUGUGUUCUACAGUCUGAGUGUAUUCAUAUCCAUGUGUGUGUCAAUGUGUGUGGUUGUGUUCGACAGUCUGAGUGUAUUCAUAUCCAUGUGUGUGUCAAUGUGUGUGGUUGUGUUCGACAGUCUGAGUGUAUUCAUAUCCAUGUGUGUGUCAAUGUGUGUGGUUGUGUUCUACAGUCUGAGUGUAUUCAUAUCCAUGUGUGUGUCAAUGUGUGUGGUUGUGUUCUACAGUCUGAGUGUAUUCAUAUCCAUGUGUGUGUCAAUGUGUGUGGUUGUGUUCUACAGUCUGAGUGUAUUCAUAUCCAUGUGUGUGUCAAUGUGUGUGGUUGUGUUCGACAGUCUGAGUGUAUUCAUAUCCAUGUGUGUGUCAAUGUGUGUGGUUGUGUUCUACAGUCUGAGUGUAUUCAUAUCCAUGUGUGUGUCAAUGUGUGUGGUUGUGUUCUACAGUCUGAGUGUAUUCAUAUCCAUGUGUGUGUCAAUGUGUGUGGUUGUGUUCGACAGUCUGAGUGUAUUCAUAUCCAUGUGUGUGUCAAUGUGUGUGGUUGUGUUCUACAGUCUGAGUGUAUUCAUAUCCAUGUGUGUGUCAAUGUGUGUGGUUGUGUUCUACAGUCUGAGUGUAUUCAUAUCCAUGUGUGUGUCAAUGUGUGUGGUUGUGUUCUACAGUCUGAGUGUAUUCAUAUCCAUGUGUGUGUCAAUGUGUGUGGUUGUGUUCGACAGUCUGAGUGUAUUCAUAUCCAUGUGUGUGUCAAUGUGUGUGGUUGUGUUCUACAGUCUGAGUGUACACUACAGUAG